CUCGGUCCGGAGCGAGAGAGUCAAGUUUGAACCGCGUAAAGAGUUGCUGACAGCGCGGAGGGAGUGACCUGAGAUAGGCAGAGAAACCGGAAAGAUUCACCUGCCAUCCAGUGUCACCUCUGGUUAUCAUCCCCAGUCAAACAGUAAGACAGAGCGUGUCAACCAAGAAAUACAACCCACUCUCUGACCUCAUCCAACCCGUCCGACUGGAACCAUUUUCUUCCAUGGAUUGAAUACGCUCACAACUCACAGGUAUCUACUGCCACCGGUUACUCUACUUUUGAAGUCUCCCUAGGUUACCAGCCGCCCCUCUUUCCAUCUGAUGAAAAAGAGAUCUCAGUCACAUUCGUCGCUGCCGAAACAUCUGGACCAACACCAUUGUAGCCCUCAACCGCACUGCUUCUCAGAAUAAGAGAAUUGCCGACCGCGAAUGCACACCAGCACCCGAAUACCGACCUGGACAACAAGUUUGGCUUUCUUCUCGAAACAUACCGCUAAAAUCUAUGUCAAAGAAACUUUCCCCCAGAUACAUCGACCCUUUUAAAAUCCAAUCCAUCAUCAGUCCCACCACUGUCCAUUUCCAGCUGCCUCCGAGUUUCAGGAUUCAUCCCACAUUCCAUGUCUCCCAGAUUAAACCAGUCCAUUCCAGCACCUUGUGCCCUACGUCCGAGCCCCCUCCACCCACCCGGGACAUUGAUGGGCACCCAGCAUACGAUGUCCGAAAGGGUGAUGUCUUGUCGUCAGACUCUCUACCAGAGGGCUUCCUGUAGUCAGCUGCUGGGCUGAGCAUGUCACCUCCUGUUGCACCUCCUUGCAAGUGCAGCUCAUCAAGUGCAAUCAGCCUUAUUCCACUGGCAUCAUAAAGGAGCAGGAAGCCAGUCACUCUUUGCCUGAGUGUUAACCAUCACCGGUAACGUCAAGCCUCCUUCUGAGCACUUUUCUGAGCAUUUCCCUGAGCAUUAUUCUGAGCUUUUUGCGAACCAACCUGAGCAUCCCACCAGAACCAUCUGAUUUCUCACCUGAAUAACCUACAGUAAUCCUUGUGUCUCUCCUCUCCUGAAGGUAUAACCUAAGUUCCAGUUCCUACUUGCAGUUUCUCCUUUGAACUUACCUCUGCCAUUACAAGGACCUCCGCUGUUACCUGGAUCUCAUUCCUGCAACUGGCUUCCGUCCCGCUGACCAACCUAUCCAUCUUCAACCUCGUCUUCUGCACUACCUGUUCACCCAGCACCACUGCAGUCUUCAGGACCCUCUGGAUUUCACCAACGCUGACUCCCGGACUCCCUGCUGUUAACAACCCCAUCAACCACUCACUUUCCCCUGGCGGACCACCACACAUCAUCUAAGCUCCCGGUUCUCCAUGUUGCUGUUUCCCCCCUGACUGGACCCUGCUGCUGCACAUUACCCAUUGUAUUCAAUAAAUAUCAUUUAA